CAAAAAGAUAACUAUUUGACAUACUGGAAAGAACUGUGACUGACCCCAAAUUAAGAAAAUCCUUGACUGUACAGACUCAGUGAGCAUAGCCUUGCUAUUGAGAGAGGCCGCCAUAGGCAAACCUGGGUCUCGAGAGACCACUGCCCACAAAAUGAGUUGGAAACUGAGAACAUUUCCCACAGAUCACAAACAAUUUGAAAACAAAUCAAACAUUGAUAAACUCCAUAUCUGUGCAAUCACUGCAGCAACAUGUAUGGCACAUUGCCAUGACAAAAGGCCAACCAGUAGAGCACAAACUACAUUGUAAAUACAACCUAUAUUUAUCUAGUUAUUUUACCUUUCAUACAUCAACUAUUUGCACAUUGUUACAACACUGUACAUAGCCAAUAAUAUUACAUUUGAAAUGUGUAUAUUAUUUUAAAACUUUUGUGAGUGUAAUGUUUACUGUUAAUUUCCAUUGUUUAUUUCCCUUUUGUUUAUUGUCUAUUUCACUUGCUUUGGCAAUGUAAACAUAUGUUUAUCAUGCCAAUAAAGCCCUUUGAAUUGAAUUGAGUGGGAGGCCUCAGCCCCUGUGUUGCAUAAAUGCUCAUUGCUGUUUACUGUAAGGGCCAGGGCUGAAGACAUACAGUACAUGGAAAUAACAGGGCAGGUAUCAUGACAUUUUAAGUAUUUCCAAAAGAAACAUUGGUGAUCAUUCUGGUAUAGUUUGUAGUUUUACUCACAUUCACAUGACUGGCUCAGACACCUCAGACAUGAUUGGUUAGUUCAGCCCUAAGCUGCUGCAGUAGGGCUCCCCCAUGAUGUGGCAAUCUACUGUCACUGCCACCUUAUUCAGUAGGUGAGUGAUUACUCUACUGUAGUAGACAGAGAGGUCCCCUACCAUGACUCUACUGUAGUAGACAGAGAAGUCCCCUACCAUGACUCUACUGUAGUAGACAGAGAAGUCCCCUACCAUGACUACUGUAGUAGACAGAGAAGUCCCCUACCAUGACUAUACUGUAGUAGACAGAGAAGUCCCCUACCAUGACUAUACUGUAGUAGACAGAGAAGUCCCCUACCAUGACUCUACUGUAGUAGACAGAGAGGUCCCCUACCAUGACUCUACUGUAGUAGACAGAGAAGUCCCCUACCAUGACUCUACUGUAGU
rnacentral:lncRNA from 1 species